rnacentral:rRNA from 1 species
UACGUAGGGACCAAGCGUUGUUCGGAUUUACUGGCGUAAAGGGCGCGUAGGCGGCGCGGUAAGUCACUUGUGAAAUCUCUGAGCUUAACUCAGAACGGCCAAGUGAUACUGCAGUGCUAGAGUGUGGAAGGGGCAAUCGGAAUUCUUGGUGUAGCGGUGAAAUGCGUAGAUAUCAGGAGGAACACCGAUGGCGAAGGCAGCUCGCUGGGACGGUACUGACGCUGAAGCGCGAAAGCUAGGGGAGCGAACGGG